GUGGAGUGCCAGGUUGCUCUUCGGAGAGCAUUUUGACGAAAAUUUCUUUGGAAAUUAUAGAUAGGAAAAACUGAACUGAAACAAACCGUGAAGCGAGAGAUGGGUGGGUCAGUAUCCAGCCCAGUUGCAGGGGCUGGCAAUUCAGGUGCAGCUGUUCUCACAGAAACUCCAACCAAUGGGUGUCCAGUUCAACAUGCUUCACCUUCACCAAACAGUGCAUCACAGCUGUCAGUCAGCGAAUGUCCAGCACAGAACAGAGUCAAUGUACAAACCAGCCAGUGUCCUGUUACUGCUAGUGGCUGUGACAGUAGCACAAUGGACAGUAAUUCAGAUGCGCUGGAUCCAACAAACAUGGUAAAAUAAUCGUAUUGAUUUUCAAAUCAUUUAGUAAAGUUUCAGGGUUUACCUCGACCUUGAUGUUUUUUCUUUGUUUGUUUUUUGUUUGU